rnacentral:rRNA from 1 species
CUUGGUGCUGACGAGUGGCGGACGGGUGAGUAAUGCAUAGGAAUCUGCCCUUUAGCGGGGGAUAACUCGGGGAAACUCGGGCUAAUACCGCAUACGCCCUACGGGGGAAAGCGGGGGCCUUCGGGCCUCGCACUAUUGGAUGAGCCUAUGUCUGAUUAGUUUGUUGGUGGGGUAAUGGCCUACCAAGGCGACGAUCAGUAGCUGGUCUGAGAGGACGAUCAGCCACACUGGGAUUGAGAUACGGCCCAGACUCCUACGGGAGGCAGCAGUGGGGAAUAUUGGACAAUGGGCGAAAGCCUGAUCCAGCAAUGCCGCGUGUGUGAAGAAGGCCCGAGGGUUGUAAAGCACUUUCAACAGUAAAGAAAAGUUCGGUGCUAAUACCACCGAACCCUGACGUUAGCUGUAGAAGAAGCACUGGCUAACUCCGUGCCAGCAGCCGCGGUAAUACGGAGGGUGCGAGCGUUAAUCGGAAUUACUGGGCGUAAAGCGUGCGUAGGUGGCUUGGUAAGUCGGAUGUGAAAGCCCCGAGCUCAACUUGGGAAUUGCAUUCGAUACUGCUAGGCUAGAGUAUGGUAGAGGGAAGUGGAAUUUCCGGUGUAGCGGUGAAAUGCGUAGAGAUCGGAAGGAACACUAGUGGCGAAGGCGGCUUCCUGGACCAAUACUGACACUGAGGUACGAAAGCGUGGGGAGCAAACAGGAUUAGAUACCCUGGUAGUCCACGCCCUAAACGAUGUCAACUAGCCG